rnacentral:lncRNA from 1 species
AUGAUAAAUAAGCUAAUGGUACUAGUAGAAAAGGUAAACAGUAUUUGUGAAAAGAUAGGGAAUAUCAGAAAAGCUGUAAAAACUAUUUUUAAAAGAGCUAUGAAAAAUAUGACAAGCAUGAAGAAUUCUUUUGGGGGCUUACAAGCCCAGAGUAUAUGCCACAAGAAUGAAUUUAUGUACUUGAAGAUAGGUCAACAUAAAUCAUAUAAACUGAUACAAAAGUGAAAAAUGAGAGAGAAAAAAGUGGAACACAUGUCUAAGUGAAACAAUGUAACAUGACCAAUCAUACAUGUAAUUUGAGUUAUGGAAAGAGAACAAAGAGAAGGAGGUCAAAAUUGAUGAAAAUCCUCAGUGCACAUAUUCAAGAAACUCAGCAAACUCUAAGCUGAAUAAAUACAAAUUAAAAUUACACACAGGCACAUCAUAGUCAAACUGCUAAAAGAAUCCAAGAUAAAGGGAACAUCUUAAAAGCAGCCAGAGAAUAGAAAACACUCAUACAGAUGAAUGACAAUAAGAACGUAGAAGGACUACUCAUUAGAAACAACUGAAAACUAGAAGACAGUGGAAUAAUAUCUUCUAAGUGCUGAAAGAAUAAAACUAUAGUCUAGUAUUCUAUACCCAGCAAAAGAAUCAUCAAGCAUGAAGGUGAAAUAAAGACAUUUGUACAUGUAGAAAAUAUGGAAAAAUAUUCCUCUUUAUCAGACCCACAAUUACAGUAACCCUAAGAGAAUUUCUUAAGACUGAAGAAAAAAUAAUACAGAGAGGAAAGGUGCCAGAUAAAAAUUAUCAAAUAGAAAUAUAUGUAUAAUCAAAUUUCAGUUAAAAAUUAUUGGUUGUUUAAAUUAAAAUCAAUAGCAAUAUAUUAUGAAAUUUAUAGCAUAAAUAAAAGUUGAAUUUAUGAAAAGAAUAGCACAAAGGGAGGGAGGGCAGUAUUAGAAGUUCAUUGUUGUAAGAUGCUUAUGCUAUCAAUGAAGUCAUAUAUUAAUUGUGGAAGAUAUACUGUGAAAGAUAAAGAUGCAGUCAGUCUUAGAGAACUCAGGCUGCCAUAACAAAAUAUAGUAGACUGGAUGGCUUAAACACCUAACAUUUAUUUCUGAUAAUUCUGGGGAUUGAGAAGUUCAAGAUCAAGGUGCCAGCCAAUUUGGUUCCUGGUAAGGACUCUCUUCCUGGCGACUUUCUCACUAUGUUUCCAUACAAUGGAGAGAGAAAGAAAACAAAUUCUCUGGUCUCUUCUUACAAUGGUAAUAGCUGAAUCAUGAGGACCCCAACUUAAUUACCUUUCAAAAGCUUCAUCUCCAAAUGCUAAAACUUUGGGGGUUAGAGUUUCAACACAUGAACUUUGGGGGAACACAGCUCAGUCCAUAGCAGUUAUCUAUUGUAAUCUCCACAAAGAGUUGCAACUAAAAAGUCAAUUGAGAAGCUAAAUAGAAUAUAUUUUAAAAGACUUGAUUCACUCAAGAGAUGAUAGGGAGAAACAAAUAUAAAGGGAAAAUGGGACAGAUAGAAAAAAAUCACAAACGUGGUAGAAUUAAACGCAUCAAUAAUUGCAUGAAAUGUAAAUGAAGUAAUGAGCUUUUCAGUUAAAGUAAGUGAAAGCCAAUCAGACUCAAUUGUGUUAUUUAUCAGUAAUACAUCUUAACUACAAAGACACAAACACAAAGAAUGGAAAAAGAUAUGUGAUGCAUAUACUAAACAUAAAGAAACUAUCUUAAUAUCAGAUACUGCAAAGCAGAGUAUUCCUAGAGAAAAAAGGGACAUUUCAUAAUAGUAAAAGAGAAGAUAAUGACUGUGCACCUAAUAUAAAGCUCUUAAAUGCUUGAAGUAAUGGUGUGAAUUCAAUGCAAAAAUAUAGUUGGAGAUCUUAAUACCUCAGUAAUCAAUUAGAUAAAAAAUCAGUAAAGAUAUAGACUAGAGAAACUAUGAAGUGAAUUCAUGUAAUUUAGUUAUAAAAUAACCAGACCAAACCAAAACAGUUUUUCUCAAUUGUACAUGGAAAAUGUGCCAAGAUAGAUCAUACUGGACCACAAAAUAAGUUGUAAUAAUUUCAGCAAUUAAAUUUAUACAGAAUGUAUUCCUCUGACCACAACAGUAUUAAGCUAGAAAUUAAUAACAGUAAGAUAUCUAGAGAAUUUUUAAAUAUUUGGAAAACAAAUUCUUAAGUAGCUCAUGGGCCAAAGAAAAAAUCACAAGAGAAGUAAAAAAAAAAAUUUAGCAAUGAAAUGGCAAUCGCAAUAUAGCAUUUGAAAAUUUGUGGCAUGCAUACUAAUGCUGUACUUAGAGAUAAAUCAGUGGCUUUAAAUGCUUACAUUAGAAAAAAAUAUAUACAUUAAAUGAUUUAUGCUUUCAAUUUAAGCUAGAAAAAUCAGAAGAAAUUAACACAAUAUAAGUAAAAAUGUAAUUUGAAAUUAGUAAAAUAGAAAAUGGACACAAAAAUGAACAAUGUAAAAAAUUUUGUUCUUAGAAAAGAUUAAUAAAAUAAAUAUCCAAUAGGACUGAUCAAGAAAAGAAAUAAAGCCAAAAUUGCCAAUAUUAAAAAUGAUAGAAAGGAUGUUACAAAUUAUACAGAUGUUAAAAGACAAAAAGGGAUGUUAUAAACAAUUUUACACCAAUAAUUUAAACAACCUCAAUAAAUAGACAAAUUCCAAAUGUCUAAUUACAAAAAAGAACAUGACAAUAUAUGAAAAACCUCCACAGCUUUAUACCUAUCAAAAAAUUAAAAUCUUCAUUUGAAAUAGAAUAUAAAACUUGCCACAGAUUCAGAAAAUACAGGAAGAAGAGAUGCUUCCCAACUUGCUUUAUGAGGCCAGAUUGCCCCUCUGUGAAGACCAUACCAGAACAUUCAAGGUGAGAAAAUUUCAGCCCACUACACACAAGAAUGGCUAAAAUGAAAGACUAACCAACCAUACCAAAUGUUGGCACAGAGUGAAUCAGCCAAAACUGUCAUACAGUCAUGGUGGAAAUAUAUGAUAUAACUACUUUGAAGAAAUUUGUAGCAGUCUUUUUAAAGCUAAAUAUAUAUUUACAUUAUGAUCCGUAAUCCCAUACCUAUGUAAUCCAAAAGGACUUAAAAUAUGUGGUUCACCAAAGCCCUAUAGAAAAACGUCUACAGUAGCUUUAUAGUAGCUAAAAUCUGGAAUCACCCCAAGUAGUCAUUAACAGAAAAAUGAAUAAGCAAAUUGUGAUGUAAAAUAUAAUAUUUUAAAAACAUGUUCAAUGAAAGAAGCUAGACAUAAGAAUAAAUAUUACUGAUAAAUAUUCAUGAUUCUAGAAAAAAAUCAAAUCUAGUUAAUGGUAAUAGAAUUCAGGACAGCAGUUGCUUGGGGUUAAGGGUUGAGGGGCAGGGCCGCAAGGGAAAUUUCUGAGGUCGUGGAAAUAAUUUAUAACUUUAUAGGUAUUUGGAUUACAUAGUUACAUAAAUUUGUCAAAAUCAAACUUUAUGCUUAAUGACUGCACUUCACUGUAUAUGAAUUAUAGCUCAAUAAAUGUGGCUGGAAACAAAAAUACUUAAAACAAUUUAUUAUUACCAUUAUUAUUAUUUUGAGACAUGGUCUGGCUCUGUCUCUCAGGAUGGAAUGCAGUGGCGUGAUCUCGGCUCACUUCAGCCUGGACCUCCCAGGCUGAGUGACCUCAGCCCCCUGGGUUUCUGGGACUAAAGGUGUGCACCACCACACCAGACUAAUUUUUGUAUUUUUUAUAGAGAUAGGGUUUUGCCAUUUUGUCCAGGCUGGUGUCAGACUUCUGAGCUCAAGAGAUCCCCCUACCUUGAGCUCCUAAAGUGCUGCAAUUCCAGGUGUGAACUACUGCACCCAGCCUGACAAUUUAUUUUCAAUAAGUAAAUUUUGCUAAUAAAGUUAAAUUUUUCAAGUAGAAAGUAUUCAGCCUUAAAUAUAUUAUAAAAUUGCUUAUUGUUUAUGUUAGAAAAACUGAAGCAACUUUCAAUAGGAUUAUUUUUACAUUUUUAUCAUUUUAUUUCUCAAAUGAUUUUGCAAACUGUCACUUUAUGGUAGGUCAAAUUUGGGACUUUAAAAAGUCUUUUUCCUGUCUUUAAGAUUUGAUUAAUUACCUAGUUAUUUAAAAUGCUUUGGGCCAGGCUAUGUCUCAUGCCUGAAAUCUUAGCACUCUGGGAGGCCGAGGCGGGCAGAUUGCUUGAGCUCAGGAGUUCGAGACUGAUCUGGGCAGCAUGGAAAAUUUCUCUCUUCCAAAAAUACAAAAAUUAGCUGGGUGUGGUGGCACAUGCCUGUAAUUCCAGUUUCUCGGGAGACUGAGGUGGGAGGAUCACUUGAGUCCAGGGAGGUUGAGGCUGCAAUGAGACAAGAUUGCACUACUGCACUCCAGCCUGGGUGACAGAGGGAGACACUGUCUCAAAAAAUAAAAUGCUAAACAUUGGUGCCUAAACAGAUUCUCUAAAAGCCUACCAAUGUCAGUGUUUCUCCUACCAAUGGGCCUUAUUCUAACCCUUUCUAUACACACAUUGGGUCAAAAAUUAAAUCAAUCUUAUCUCUGUCAGACACCAUUUGAAACAAAUUUAAGUAUCAGCAGCCUUAUGAUUUUACCAGUCCCAGACCUCUAGUUAAUUUGUCAUUAAUAUAAUUAAGAACCUGAAGUAAUUCAGUUUAAGAAUCUGCAUAGGUUUUAAAGAGUAAAUUAAAAGGCUUCCUUAAUUCAUUAGAAACCUGCAAAAAAUUGGAACCCGAAGG